GCUGCACGACUCGUGCUUCCCCUCGCGGAUGGAUGUAUUUUUCUCUCCGCACGUCGCUGCGGGCUGUAGGAGUUCUCUCUGCUCCUCCAAAUUUUGUCCCAAACCCUCUCCUAAUGACAUUUUUUUGAAAGAUUUUUUUGUGUAUGCGAGUUUCUCCUGGCUGUGUCACGUUCUGAAGUGCAGGCAGGUGGCAGUGAAACCAUUGCUGCAUGUUGCACUCUGAAAAACAGUGUUCUGAAAAACAUCCCAAUUUGGGGUUUCGUUGUUUCUGUCCAGCACUUCUAGUCUUAAUAAUCACCAUUUGAAUGAGAAUGCAUAUGUACUGAGAUAUAUGGGGUAAUAAUUUGCGUCAAGAAGAUAUUAAUAAAGAAGGGGGAGAUGUGGGAGUGUGGCCAUGGGGGUCGACAAGCCCCAUGGUUGGUGAUAACAUCAGACACUUACCGAUGAGGCCAUCAGGAAUGUAAAAGAGUUCAGAGGGAACAAAGAAGGGUGGUUCAGGAGAUGCCACGCCGUCUGGGGUUGCUUGUUCUGCAGCCCUUAUACAUGGAAGAUUCCGGUCACCAGGCAAAAAUGUGUGACCAAUGAAAAAGUCAUGGAAGGUAUGGGAGCACUUCAACCAGGAUUCCCAACUCCAACUAUGCUCCCCCAGUCAUGGACAUUAAUAGUAAUAGACUUAAAGCAUUGUUUGUUAAACACUUGCCGGAAUUCGGAAAACUUUGCCAUGUUUAUGUUUCAGUUGAUACCUUUUCCAAUUGUACAUAUGCAUAGGCAUACUCGGGUUUCUUAUGAAUAUGUAAAAGCAAUGUUCUGUAUAUUUAGAAAGUUCGAUGUUCGUGUGUGCGUUUUGGUAGAGCGUAGACUCCCCUUGCACCCGGCGCUGUUUACUUGCCUUUUAUAAAUAUUACUAAAUUCAGAUUGAGUUGUAUCUUCAGUUAUAACAGUACCAUAGACCUGUGUAGGAAAAAAAGUAAUAGUUAAUGACUUCUGAUACAACCCAUUCACAAACUGAGAGUUGAUUUUUUAUUAUAUAUUUUUUUGAAGUUACAUCACAUUAAUGUCUGAUCAUAACUGGUUAUUUAUACAGCCAGCACUUCAUAAUGGUUACAAUUGCAUCCUACAUCGUAGUGCAGAAAAGGACUGAUUUUGUGAGCGGCCUGGCUCCUCCGUGAGGCGGGCUUGGUUCUAUGCUACAUGUAAGGUAGUCAGGAAGCCUCUGCAUAGCAGGUAAGAGAACUCGUCAAAACAUCUUGUCAUCAAGGAAAAAGGCCUCAGCUGACCAACACUUCCCCCUGUCAGGUUUUUAGAAAAGACAGAAGUGUCAGCAAGUUUGCCUUGGUGCUGGGAAUGUGUUGUUUGCUCUGGAGAUAAGCAGUUAUUUGGUCAACAUUUCUGCAUUCUUGACUGCUGACUAUUGCUGUUCUCCAUUAGGCAUAUCUGCUGGCUUUGAAAAAUAAUACAGUUGAGGUCAGCACCAAGAGGGAUGCUGCUGAGCUUUGAGCUGAAGAGGUUGAGGGUUCCUUGAACUCUGUUCUCCCAGCUUUGCUGAUGAGAUGGGGACCUCUGACAGAGGGGAGGUGACAAACAGGCUCAUCUUGCUGUUGUAAAAUACAGAACAUCAUAAAAUGAACAAUAAAGAAGGACAAAGAGCUAACUGGGCACAGCAAGAACACAAGUGAAGCUAAGACUGGAAGGCAGAAAACAUAAGCAUAUAUGGCAACUUCCCUAUGCUUGAGAGGGUCAUUGUUAAUUGAAAAUAAACUUUGCUUCUUGCUGUUUGCUUGACUGCUUUUAAAAGGUCUUCUUGAUACCUGUGGGAGUUGCAUGCACAGACAGAUGUAAUAAGCUCUGCAGGUGAAAAUUCUGAAAAUAGUUGCCCGCAUACAAGCGUGGCUUCAGUUUGCUGCUAGAAUGGGAAGAAAUAUAUGGAGUUAAUGUAGAAAGCUGAUCUCUAUGUCUUUAACAGCCAAAGUAUGCCUGGAAUACGUUUAAGCCACAAAUUUAUAUACUUUUACAACAACUACACUAAUUGCAUGGAAAAAUAUGUAUAUAGAUUUGGUGACUUGUGUGAAACACGGAUGAAUGACUUAACUGCAUAAAUAAUUACUAUAUAUUUUUAAAUGAGGUAAGGGCCUAUUGAACUGAAAAAUAACUUCAAAGUCAUUUCAGCUCCAUAAGACCUUUUGCCCUGAGAUCCUGGUAACUUUAAUUUAUACACUUUUGGUGUGCCUCUGGU